GAUGAACGCUGGCGGCGUGCCUAAUACAUGCAAGUCGAGCGAACAGACGAGGAGCUUGCUCCUCUGACGUUAGCGGCGGCCGGGUGAGUAACACGUGGAUAACCUACCUAUAAGACUGGGAUAACUUCGGGAAACCGGAGCUAAUACCGGAUAAUAUAUUGAACCGCAUGGUUCAAUAGUGAAAGACGGUUUUGCUGUCACUUAUAGAUGGAUCCGCGCCGCAUUAGCUAGUUGGUAAGGUAACGGCUUACCAGGGCAACGAUGCGUAGCCGACCUGAGAGGGUGAUCGGCCACACUGGAACUGAGACACGGUCCAGACUCCUACGGGAGGCAGCAGUAGGGAAUCUUCCGCAAUGGGCGAAAGCCUGACGGAGCAACGCCGCGUGAGUGAUGAAGGUCUUCGGAUCGUAAAACUCUGUUAUUAGGGAAGAACAAAUGUGUAAGUAACUAUGCACGUCUUGACGGUACCUAAUCAGAAAGCCACGGCUAACUACGUG
rnacentral:rRNA from 1 species